rnacentral:rRNA from 1 species
CCGUCUUGAAACACGGACGGCUGCAUAUCAAUAAGCGGAGGAAAAGAAACAACAGGGAUUGCCUUAGUACACGGCGAGUGUAAGCGGCAAUAGCUCAAAUUUGAAAUCCGCCCCUGGGGCUGAGUUGUAAUUUGUAGAGGACGCUCUGAGUUAAGCGCUUUCCGAGUCCCCUGGAACGGGGCGCCAGAGAGGGUGAGAGCCCCGUAUGGUUGUGUGCUAUGACUUUUGUAGAGCUCCUUCGACGAGUCGAGUAGUUUGGGAAUGCUGCUCUAAAUGGGAGGUAAAUUCCUUCUAAAGCUAAAUAUCUGCCAGAGACCGAUAGCGCACAAGUAGAGUGAUCGAAAGAUGAAAAGCACUUUGAAAAGAGAGUUAAAUAGCACGUGAAAUUGUUGAAAGGGAAGCGCUUAUAACCAGAUUUGCGCUGAGGUGCUCUCCUGCUAUUCUUAGCAGUGUACUCGCCUCAGCGCAGGCUAGCAUCAGUUUCCGUUGCGGGAUAAAGGGUUCGGGAACGUAGCUCUCCCUAGGAGAAGUGUUAUUAGCCCGUUGCUAGAAAUACCGCUGCGCGGACUGGAGGGAUACGGAUAGGCAAGGAUGCUGGGCGGUAAUGGUUUAUUUAGCCGACCCCGUCUUUGAAAGAC